GUCAGGAUGAACGCUGGCGGCGUGCCUAAUACAUGCAAGUCGAACGAGUUCUCGUUGAUGAUCGGUGCUUGCACCGAGAUUCAACAUGGAACGAGUGGCGGACGGGUGAGUAACACGUGGGUAACCUGCCCUUAAGUGGGGGAUAACAUUUGGAAACAGAUGCUAAUACCGCAUAGAUCCAAGAACCGCAUGGUUCUUGGCUGAAAGAUGGCGUAAGCUAUCGCUUUUGGAUGGACCCGCGGCGUAUUAGCUAGUUGGUGAGGUAAUGGCUCACCAAGGCGAUGAUACGUAGCCGAACUGAGAGGUUGAUCGGCCACAUUGGGACUGAGACACGGCCCAAACUCCUACGGGAGGCAGCAGUAGGGAAUCUUCCACAAUGGACGCAAGUCUGAUGGAGCAACGCCGCGUGAGUGAAGAAGGCUUUCGGGUCGUAAAACUCUGUUGUUGGAGAAGAAUGGUCGGCAGAGUAACUGUUGUCGGCGUGACGGUAUCCAACCAGAAAGCCACGGCUAACUACGUGCCAGCAGCCGCGGUAAUACGUAGGUGGCAAGCGUUAUCCGGAUUUAUUGGGCGUAAAGCGAGCGCAGGCGGUUUUUUAAGUCUGAUGUGAAAGCCCUCGGCUUAACCGAGGAAGCGCAUCGGAAACUGGGAAACUUGAGUGCAGAAGAGGACAGUGGAACUCCAUGUGUAGCGGUGAAAUGCGUAGAUAUAUGGAAGAACACCAGUGGCGAAGGCGGCUGUCUGGUCUGUAACUGACGCUGAGGCUCGAAAGCAUGGGUAGCGAACAGGAUUAGAUACCCUGGUAGUCCAUGCCGUAAACGAUGAAUGCUAGGUGUUGGAGGGUUUCCGCCCUUCAGUGCCGCAGCUAACGCAUUAAGCAUUCCGCCUGGGGAGUACGACCGCAAGGUUGAAACUCAAAGGAAUUGACGGGGGCCCGCACAAGCGGUGGAGCAUGUGGUUUAAUUCGAAGCAACGCGAAGAACCUUACCAGGUCUUGACAUCUUUUGAUCACCUGAGAGAUCAGGUUUCCCCUUCGGGGGCAAAAUGACAGGUGGUGCAUGGUUGUCGUCAGCUCGUGUCGUGAGAUGUUGGGUUAAGUCCCGCAACGAGCGCAACCCUUAUGACUAGUUGCCAGCAUUUAGUUGGGCACUCUAGUAAGACUGCCGGUGACAAACCGGAGGAAGGUGGGGAUGACGUCAAAUCAUCAUGCCCCUUAUGACCUGGGCUACACACGUGCUACAAUGGAUGGUACAACGAGUUGCGAGACCGCGAGGUCAAGCUAAUCUCUUAAAGCCAUUCUCAGUUCGGACUGUAGGCUGCAACUCGCCUACACGAAGUCGGAAUCGCUAGUAAUCGCGGAUCAGCACGCCGCGGUGAAUACGUUCCCGGGCCUUGUACACACCGCCCGUCACACCAUGAGAGUUUGUAACACCCGAAGCCGGUGGCGUAACCCUUUUAGGGAGCGAGCCGUCUAAGGUGGGACAAAUGAUUAGGGUGAAGUCGUAACAGGGUA
rnacentral:rRNA from 2 species